AGAACUUCUGAGCAACGUGGCAGCUGCCGGGACCGGGCCUCUGAGUGCAGAGAGCAGGCGUUGCCAGGAGCGGACUCAGACAGUGGAGGCCCCUCGCUGACCCUCUCCGGGGCCACUGCAAAGGAAGAAGAAAAGCACAGGCAUCAGCUUCAACAAUGCAAAACAAAGUAAGCUUGAAUUCAGAUGAGGGGCAGUUAAAAUCGCAGCCUAGAAGUCCAAGUGUGGUUUGUAACACUCCAAACCCCAUGUCAGCCUUCAGUGAUUGUUCUGCUGACCAUGUUGCUACAGAGCGGCUUGGGUUUUUCCUUGUGGCAACUCCCCAGGGUGACAGAUUAUUCGGCAAUGUCACCAUUUUGUAGAUGUAUUCGGGAUUUCCAGCCAUAAGCCAUGGAUGAUAUUGGGGAUCCUUUAUUCCUGGUGGGUGCCCAUAAGAGUUUGCAAACUAUACCCAAAAGGGCACGGGAACCCCUAAACUUUCCAGGCUGUCUUGGCACACGGCUCACUAGAACUGUUAACGCCGUCAAAGUAUCUCUGACACGUCCUUAGCCUGUGUUUGAAAACCUGCAGAGAUGGGAUACGCCCCUUUACCAGAGACAGUGCAUUCCGUCCACUGGGAGUGACACACGGCCAAGCCAGGCUUCAAAGAGAGAGGUUCACCGUAUUCCAGUAGUGACUACUGGGAUUUAGGGUUGGAUCACCUUACCAGAGCUUGGAAGCUGCUAGAAGUUAACAUUAAUUUUAUUGUUCUUUAAAAUGAAAGUCCAGCAGGAGGGCCAGGAUUUGGGCAUCUCGGUCCUUCACGAAAAGAAAGGGUGAUGUUGAUUAGCCAUGUUCCACAUCCCCCGAGUUAAAUAUAGGAAUAGUUCUGACAUCUGACUCAAGAAUGUGUUUUCUUGCAUGAUAUUAAGGCAGAUGCACAGAUCCACGUAGAUUAAUCCCCUUCACUAGUAGCAGGGGCCCGAUGAGGUAGCUGAUGAGGAAGAGCCCCCGAGACCAGGCCCAGCGUGGGGCCACGGCCUUGGGAUCUGGACGACACCCCAGCGGUUCUGUGCCGCCAGCAGGCCCUGCCGCAUCUCUGGGCUGGAGCCCUGACUGUCAGCAGAUGAGGCCAUGGGUUGGGGUGUCUCUCCCACCAGAACGGCUUCGUGGGGUGCUCACUAUCCCCUGGUCAUGCUUCGGCACAGCUGGCACCGGCUCCCUGAGGGCCCACUGAUUGGUUUUACACAAGUCUGUGAAGCUUCCCACAAUGCACGAUGUCCUUAGCAAAUACAACACAGCCCGCUGGUAUCGCCUCUUCCUUCACUACCUCCACAACCACUUGUGGCAGAGGAGGAGCCUCCAGUUGCACUUGGCCAAGGCGGCUUUUGUAAGAACUUGACGGGACCAAGCCACCCCCACGGCAUCAUUUCCACGGGAGAACACAUCCCAGCGAAACUCCAAGGAAAGGGUAGUUUUGUGAAGAAAAUGCUUGUGUUCUAGGACACAGCCCAGCAAGUCCCUGACUUUAAAAAAUGUGUAAGAAACAGGAAUGUAACAUUGACGAAACAUGCCUGCCAAGAUGGACUUUCCUUGUGGCGAGACCCUUCCUUCUCCUCAAUGCCUGGGUGCUAGCAGGGUAGCAUCCCCAGCCUCAGAGCUCAAGCGUCAUGAUUGGGGAAAUGAGACUGGGCAGCCAUUCGGAAGGCCGGGCAAAGAAGAGUGUAAAGAGACAUUGGUCUCGUGCUGCAGAAUGAGUUACAAAUAGUGAAUCCUCAGCAAUACUGUCUCCCCGUGGACUGGAAUUUGGACCCGCUGCUGUGGCGGGCAGCUUUGACCCAAUGAGGACCACGCCUGGAAGGAUGUCAGAGCAGCAGGGACCUGGGUGGAGUGACCUGGUGGAACGGAGACGCCUGCCGGCUCAGCAGCCACAGCAGCAGCUGCCCGUCAUGGGACAGCAACGUGGCAAGAAUUCCCCACGGGUUCCGGGGGAGCCUGUGUUGCUGGACCCUUUGCCACACCACCGAACCUGGCCCAGAGGAGCAGGAAUUGGCCGAGUUCCAGGCCCUGCACCUGACGGGGGCUUCCUCAGCCUCUCAUGUGAUCCUCGCAGCAGGCUAACGUGCAGGCCCUUCUGUUUUCCAGAUUUGACAGUUGAGAGGGGAAAGCCAUGUUUUCAAAUGUUACAGUAGAAGAGGCAGGAUGCAAAUCCAGCCCUGGCUGGUGCUGAAGCUGGGGCAGGUGCAUCUGCAGGGUGCUGCCUUCAAGGCAGAGGGGUGACUGCUGUGUUUCAUGGCAGGGAAGCCCCCCUUGAUGCUCACACCACCCAGGUCGUACGGCUUUGAGGACAUCCCUUUCUUCAAACCCAGGUCAUCUGAACAGUGUGGCCUGAAUCCCAGGUUGGGAGUGAGUAAUUCAUCAUCCAAACUGAUUAGAGAAUCUGAGUGAGGGACCUUCAAGUCAGGGAUAGAGAACGGGCUUCGUCUUCUGGAGCUGCCAUAACAAAAUGCCGAAGACUGGGCGGCUUCAACCACACAAGGGCCUUUCGACACAGCCCUGGCAACUGGAAGCUGGGGGUCGAGGUGUGGGCAGGGCUGGUUCCUGGGGAAGGAUCUCCUCCCGGCUGCAGAUGGCCGCCCCUGGCUGCAUGCCCGCCUGGCUUUCCUCGGUGCUCACUCACCCCGGUGCCUCUUCUGCUUCUUAGAAGGAUCCCCAGCAGAUGAGGGCCCCAGCCUGGUGACCUCACUUACCCUCCAUCAUGUGCUGAAGGCCUGCGACAAGCACUUCUCAUCUUCCCAUCCUCUGACGGAGCCAGUCCCACCCACCACGUGGACGUGGGUGUUGUCUGUGGACCAAGGUCAGUGUUUUGUUGGUUUUUCUUAUUGUUUGGCACCAGCAUUACAUAGACCAAUAGACCUUGUUGUUCUCCGCCCGGAGGGGCUGGUGCUGUGGCUGGGGCACCGCCCUGGGUAGGCCCCGCCCCAGGCCAUGCAGUUCCCAGGCUCCUUUCUGGGAGGGGUUGGUUCUCACAAAGGGGGAAAAUCAUGAAAUGGCAAACCUGAGUCACGGCAGCACAGAGGACAGCCCCUGAAGGCAUAAGCAGGAAGGGCAUAAUGCUUUCCAAAAGAGAAAACUACAUGGACUUUACUGACUCAUCACUGAGUUCUGAGAUCACUGACACUUACACAUGUGUCCACGCUGUUGUGAGUCAUGGGGAAAAAUGGAGGAGCAAAAUGACCAAGUGGCAGGGUCUGUAAGAGUCUCUCACUGUAGGGAUGGGCUGCCCUGAGGAGACACUGCCCAGGCCUGGGUGCCCCGGGCCAAAGUCCUGACCCUUGCAGGGCUGUGUCCUGUGGAUGACAUGUGGCACUGGACUGCUCACUGACAGGUCACACCCAUCUUCAGUCUCUGCUCACCAUGACAGAGUCACAGCCACACCCGGGACAGAACCUGGGCUCCGGGCAGCAGGUAAUAGGAGGAUAUUCUACCCAGGGCCGGAACAAGCCAGGUCCAGCCUCAACUGCUCUGUGGCUAGUAAGUGCGAGGAUGCUGUGUCACAGGUGUCACACGUCACUAAGAGAACGUCGUGGGCGCACGGGGAAUGUCUUUAUGGCACUGUCUGGAAGCAGGCUGCAUCUCAGCAGCUCCAGAGGUUACAGGGGCUGGUUUUCACCAACACAAGAAGUGUUAGAGACAGGAGACGUGGAGGAACCUGUCGAACCUGGUGGGGAUCGAGUUUAAACACAUCUGCACACACUUGGGUGUGUGUGUCCCAGCGCAUCUCAGCCCUGAGUGCCCACACCUGGCUUCCCUGCCCCCCCACCCCUCCUACCCCACAGUCCACACUGCCCCACACCUACUCGUGUCCAGAAAGCUCUCGCUGAGCCUCCUCCCACAUCAGCCACUCUUGGAGGACUGAGAAAACAGUGGUGGGGGGCCAGUUCCCAAAUCCAGGCGCUCCUGGCACAUCCAAAUCCGGGACGACUGACCAAGGGCUCGCACUCAGCCUGAGGAAGCAAGUGGUCCUUUGACUCGGAGUAAGAACUGCUCAGAGGCCAACGUGCUCUGGCUCGGGUCCCCCUGGCACCUCCAGGCAGGUCUUUCUAAUUUGGUUCCUGAACACGCUCCAGCUCCCAUCCUGAGGCCUGCCCUUGCCCUUCCCUCCCCCAUUGCUCUUCCCACCCUCCUCCCUUGCCAUUCCCUGUCCUCAUUGCUCUUCCCACCUUCCUCCUUCCGCUCCCUCUCAAGGCCCUGCCCUGUCUGGUUCACCAUCCUCCUCUCGUCCUCUCCUGGCUCCUCCCCAGAGCUUGGUGUUCAUUCGGACGCCUUCUCCCUGCAGCCUCCACCAGGGCCCUGGCUGCCCUCGCCCUCCAGCAAGUCACUGUAUUUUACGUUCUUCAUGGAGUUUUUUACUUUUGAGAUUUAUCAACUUUACAUGCAUGUUUGCUGCACCCCCUCACUAGAUUUCAUCUACAUGGGAACAGAGACCCCUCUGCUUUGCUCCCUGCUGUAAACAUCCCGGCUCGGGAAAGUCUCUAUCUACAGACACUGCUGGGUGCUGAGUUUCCAGAGCAGUCAAUGCGAUGUGCGACUCCGUGGUGAGAACUGAAGAUGCAUGAGGAUGAGGGGCGCUCGAUCCCUGUCCUCUGUGAUCUGGUACAACAGAAUCAACCCCUGCAUGGUGGGCCCCAGUGAGCAGCCUGCGGGAUGCACGGAGCCACCCAGAAACACGUGAACUCGGUGGCAGCAGCAGAGACAGAAACAUCUCACAGUACACCAGGAAUGAAAGUGUAAAAUACUUAGCAUUUGACAAGGUUUCCAGUUAUAUGUUCUUCUUUGAGCAUCAAAUGAGGGUCCCAUACCUAUUUCUGUGCUCAUGUUACAGACAGAAUGGAAACACAGAGAGUUACAGAGAUGUGAUCCAGGUGGGGGCUGGGAAGGGGCUUCCUGCAGAGGUUUAUACCCAGGCUCGUGGAGAAAAUGCCCUACGAGGGACCAAGCCAAGGACUCAAGCAAACGCAGGGAAUGAGACAGCGUUUCCAGGCCAGAAUGCGGGAGCCCUUCAGCAGAAUCAGGGGUUAGGAAGCUCGGUGACUUCAGGCAGGAAGGCGAUGGAACGGGAACAGGGUCUUUCUGUUUCACGUAGGCGAUGGAACGGGAAUGGGGGUCUUUACUUUUCACGCAGGUGAUGGAACAGGAACGGGGUCCUUCCAUGUGGGAAAUGCUGAGCCUGCGCUGCCAACCGCCUCCGGGUGAGACAUCUUGUGGACAGCUGGGACAGGCGGCAGAGUAAGAGGCAGUGGUUUAGAAGUCAAAUGCCCUUGGACAAUUGUGGAAGCUUUUGAUUUUAUUAUUUUAUUAUUAACUGAAAAAAAUAGAAAAUAGAAAAUAGAAAAAAAUAGAAUUGGAGAGGAGGAAUAAGUAGAUGUUUAGCAACAGAGCGUGCAAUGCAGCAGCACACUGAGAAAAGUAGCCCAGAAAGGACGGGGAGCUUCAGGAGGCGACAACUCACAAAUAUGACGGCCACUCACAGGCCAGUCCUGCAAACGACAGAUGACUCCAGGAGAGGCCGGGCGUGGUGGCUCACACCUGCAAUCCCAGCACUUUGGGAGGCUGAGGCAGGUGGAUCACCUGAGGUCAGGAGUUCGAGACCAGCCUGGCCAACAUGGCGAAACCCCGUCUCUACUAAAAAUACAAAAAUUAGCCGGGCGUGGUGGCGGGCACCUGUAAUCUCAGCUACUCGGGAGGCAGAGGCAGGAGAAUUGCUUGAACCUGGGAGGCAGAGGUUGCAGUGAGUCGAGAUCAUGCCAUUGCAAUUCAGCCUGGGCAACAGGGCGAGACUCCAUCUCGAAAACAAAACAAAACAAAACAAAUGACUUGAGGAGACGGCUUCAGAAAAUACUGUUGUGUUUGGUGACUGAGUGGUUAUUCAUGUUCUUGGACAAUGCUUUCCAAAUGUUAGUUUGCCUACAGGUCACGCAAACAUCCUGCAUGUGAAGGCAGACUCCGGAGGUCUGGGAAGCACUGGGUUUUGGGUUUUUUUGUAUAAAAGCUUCCAGAUGGCACUGAUGCUGCCUGUCAGGGGACUACACCUUGACAAGCCUGUAGAGACUGUGUUAGAAGGGCAGGGUGAACACCAGAUCCCGUAGCGAGGUAAGGGGUAAGCAGGUGUGAGGAGGCAGGGCAGACACAUGGCCGCCUUCUAGGAGUCUGAGAGUGGAGAUUAGGAUAAUAGAAGCUUAAUGGCAUUUUAAGGUUAAAGAUCUUAUUUUUUGCUUUGUAUUGAUUUUGGACGGAUGAGUCCUGGAAAAAUUAAUUGCCAAGGGUCACUUGGAAGAGAGUGGGUGCCGUGACAUCGGUGGGGUCACCCAAUGUCAGACUGGCGAGCAUUUUGAGUUGCCCGUAACUGUUGUGCCUCAAGCUCCUGGUGUUCCCGGAGGCUGUGCCCUGGAGGCCCGUUGCAGAGAACACGGAGGCACAUUCUCCUGCUGUGAAGUCAGCCCAGGCAAGGCAGGCGUGGCAGCCUGUACCAUUGGUGUGGCCACGGGGCCGAGAGGGCAGGAAACAGAGAGAGGGAGGUUGGUUUCAUGUUGCAAAAUGCCGGAUGAGUGGGCAAACCCCCCGCAAUUCUGUCUGGCCAAAUUAUACUUUUAGGUUCAGGCCUAUACUUUAUAUUUUAAAAGCUCAAAUUAUUUUAUAAUCUCCUGAAAAUACAUCAUCUUGCCAUUUGCUUUCAAUACUGCACUGCGACCUUUUAUAAUCUUUCAAAAACAUGUUCUCCCUUUGGAUAAAUGAGAAAAUAAAUAGUAUUCAGUGAAGACCAACUACUGAAUUAUUUUAAAAUAUCUUGUUUAUAAAAGGUUUUUACCAGUGAGAGGAUUUAAGAGUUGCUUGGCUCUUGAAGCCAGCAGAGACUUCUGUGUGCAUUGCUUCAUUUGUGGGGGAGGACUCUAGCCCCACAUGGCAGAUGAAAAACUGUGCCUCGGAGGAGUUAAGCGAAUUGCUGAGGAUGGUACCACAGAGAGCGACUGAGGCGACAGCCAGCAUCCAGCCUCCAGAGUUCCACUGUGCUUCCCCAAAGACAGGCGGGCUCUCCUCAAGCACAUUUUUACUUUAGGAGCUGCUGAAACUGGGGUGUGGACCACGGGAUCCCCCCUGACCAGCCUCAAGCCCGAGCCUGCGAUUCUCUCAUCCGCACUUCACCAGCUGAGGUGAAGGGUGGGCCUCCAUUUUGGUUGAAUUACAUUCUCUCUCACAGAACCAUCUGGAAACCCCAUCACCUUAAUAAUUCAGUGUUGUUUGAUGCUGUGAAAGGUGAAAAAGACUUCAAUUCUUACUACCAAAUUGUGCUGGGGAGUGACACAGAUAGUCAGUCUCUCAGCAGCACGCACACCCUGUUAGAAGGGGGUAUGGUUUUUACUUUCCGCUUAUUCCCGGCAAAUCCUGUGGCUUCCACUAAGCAAGGAUGUCCUCUGAGCACCCUGACCCUCCCGAUUCCCGUGCACCGCCCCAGCCUCCGCUGUCGCCUGCCCUCCACCUGGCGCCUCCGUUAUUUACUUGUUCCCCAGGUUCAGUCUCGGGCGGCCUCGGCUUUCUCCACGUCUUCUCCCUGCACAGUGGCAACGCUUCCAGAACCCCAGCUGCUCUAACACCAGGCCCAGCUCCUCCAACCCAAGCGUCUCUACCCAACUGUGGGAUCUGUCCGCACCUCCAGAUGGGGAGGCCCACGUCUCCGUGUCACCUGAGGGCGGGUGUGUUUAGAAGCAUGCUUUUGCAUCUCCACCACUGGAGACACAGGGACUUGGGGUGUGUACGUUUUGUGAAAACUCAAACAUGGGCCUCACCUUUUGGUUUUAUGGAUGUGAACCACGUCCCUGCAGUCAUCAGAGUGGAAUGCUGCUAGCGGCUGGCCCUAGGCUGAGUGUUUGACCGGGAAUACCCACACACUUCUCUCAACUAACCCGUGAGGUUGGCAUGUUCAGUACCUGGGGAGAAAGUGGGGUAACAAUGACAGGACUAAAGCCCACAGCCUGGGGCCUGGCACCUGGCAAGUGCCCUCUGGGUGUUGGUGGAGUUCUUACUUGGAUGACUUUAAUCAUUACAGAGGCUCCCUAAGGCCACACAGCUGGUAGGGGCUCUGGCCCCGUCUCAUCUCACUCCAGAGCCCCAGGUGAGUGCAAGGCAGAACCUCUAUGUUUCUGUCUCAGAUUCUUCUCAUUGCUUUGUUUUUCUCAAAACAUUUCAUUUUAUCAAUGAUGAAUACUAAAAUUAGAUUAUUUUCUUUUUGUUGAAACUAUAUGUAUUGAUUUUUUGUCUUUGGAGUUGUCAUAAAACACCUGUGGUCAAAUCCAGGCCCUUCCAGUUACCAGCAAUGUGACCCUCUGCACGCUAAUCACCUCCCUGAUGACUCAGUUUCCCCAUCUGUAAAGGAGAAGCAAUGGAAGUACUGGGCAGUUUAAAUAACAUAAAUGUUGCAGAACACUUGGUACAUGGCCAGACAUGCAGUAGGUAUUCCAUAAAGGAAGCUAUUUGUAUUUUUUGUUUCAAAUUCUAUUCCAUGGUGAACGUUUGUUUACUGUCUCAGAUGUGAUGUGAGAUUCCAUUUUGAAUAGCUUUCAGGAAUGUGACACGAAAUUAUCUUCCUUCUUCCAUCAGCUAAAAACUACUGUAUAAAUGUUUCAAGCUCUGCUCCCCCUACUCUUACCAAUGAUAAACAUGCCCCUAGGUUUCCCCUACAGCCACCCCAGCUCCUCGCUCUACAUCUCCCUCUCCCCACCGCCACCUUCCGCCCCUGCCCUGCGGCUCCCACCGCCCCUGCCCUGCUGCUCCCACCGCCCCUGCUCUGCUCUGCUGCUCCUUCCGCCCCUGCCCUGCGGCUCCUACGGCCCCUGCCCUGCUGCUCCUUCCGCCCCCGCCCCGCUGCUCCUUCCGCCCCCGCCCCGAGGCUCCUUCCGCCCCUAUCGCUCUGCUCCUUCCGCCCCUGCCCGGCGGCUCCUUCCGCCCCUGCCGCUCUGCUCCUUCCACCCCUGCUCUGCUGCUCUGGGCUUUCCCCGAGGCUUUGCUGCCCACACUCUUCUUGCUCGUCAGACCCACCAAGGUUGCAGAGAAAGGCAGACAGCAGCAGAUGGCUAGGAAACGAAUACUCAACAAUAGGGUGAUUUCAGAACUAAAUUCCAAAGAAUUCAGCCUACAGAGCAAAAACUCACUCAAAAAACCAAAAAGAUGGAGAU
rnacentral:lncRNA from 1 species